rfam:Bacillus bataviensis LMG 21833 contig125, whole genome shotgun sequence.
CCCGUGCUACAACCGCACAGAACAGGUACUAAGAUUUUGCGAGAUUCGUAAAACGCCUGCAGAUGGCGAGUCUGAGUUUAUAA